rnacentral:rRNA from 1 species
AGUCAACAUGCCCAGGGGACGUGGAUAACCUCGGGAAACUGAGGAUAAACCGCGAUAGGUCAUAAUGUCUGGAGUGAUUUAUGGCUCAAACCUAUAUGGCCCCUGGAUUGGACUGCGGCCGAUCAGGCUGUUGGUGAGGUAAUGGCCCACCAAACCUAAAACCGGUACGGGCUCUGAGAGGAGAAGCCCGGAGAUGGGCACUGAGACAAGGGCCCAGGCCCUAUGGGGCGCAGCAGGCGCGAAAACUCUGCAAUAGGCGAAAGCUUGACAGGGUUAUUCUGAGUGAUCUCCGUUAAGGAAAUCUUUUGGCACCUCUAAAAAUGGUGCAGAAUAAGGGGUGGGCAAGCCUGGUGUCAGCCGCCGCGGUAAUACCAGCACCCCGAGUGGUCGGGACGAUUAUUGGGCCUAAAGCAUCCGUAGCCGGUUCUACAAGUCUUCCGUUAAAUCCACCUGCUUAACAGAUGGGCUGCAGAGGAUACUAUAGAGCUAGGAGGCGGGAGAGGCAAGCGGUACUCAGUGGGUAGGGGUAAAAUCCGUUGAUCCACUGAAGACCACCAGUGGCGAAGGCGGCUUGCCAGAACGCGCUCGACGGUGAGGGAUGAAAGCUGGGGGAGCAAACCGGAUUAGAUACCCGGGUAGUCCCAGCUGUAAACGAUGCAGACUCGGUGAUGAAUAGGCUUAGUGCCUAUUC